GAUGAACGCUAGCGAUAGGCCUAACACAUGCAAGUCGAGGGGCAUCACAUGAGGCAGCAAUGCCGAUGGUGGCGACCGGCGCACGGGUGAGUAACACGUAUGCAACCUGCCUUCAACAAGGGGAUAACCCGUUGAAAAACGGCUAAUACCCUAUAACACAGGGGUCCCGCAUGGGAAUAUUUGUUAAAGGACAACCGGUUGAAGAUGGGCAUGCGUUCCAUUAGCUAGUUGGCGGGGUAACGGCCCACCAAGGCAACGAUGGAUAGGGGAACUGAGAGGUUUAUCCCCCACACUGGUACUGAGACACGGACCAGACUCCUACGGGAGGCAGCAGUGAGGAAUAUUGGUCAAUGGACGCAAGUCUGAACCAGCCACGUCGCGUGAAGGAAGACGGCCCUACGGGUUGUAAACUUCUUUUAUACGGGAAUAAAGUGCCCCACGCGUGGGGUUUUGCAUGUACCGUAUGAAUAAGGAUCGGCUAACUCCGUGCCAGCAGCCG
rnacentral:rRNA from 1 species